rnacentral:tRNA from 6 species
GCCCAGGUAGCUCAGUUGGUAGAGCAGUGGACUGAAAAUCCGCGUGUCGGUGGUUCAAAUCCGCCCCUGGGCACCA